rnacentral:tRNA from 1 species
GCGCACUUAGCUCAAACGGUAAGAGCAUCACUCUUGAAAGUUGAGGUUGUGGGUUCGAUUCCCACAGUACACA